AUCAUAGCGGAGGAGACCUGCGGAAGGAUCAUUACAGAACGAAAUGGGUGGCACUAGGCUGUCGCUGGCUCAAACGAGCAUGUGCACGUCUUUUGCUGCUUGCUUUCAUUCUCUUUUCCACCUGUGCACUCUUUGUAAACACUUGGGAGAGGGGGGUAUGGCUUUGUUCCUGCCGUACCCCCAUCCUACAUUGCGUAGGCUGNGCUACUCAUACCAUGACGAAUACAGNUCCUGGGUGUUUAUGUAUUUUUUUGACAUACACGCUUUGAAUGUCUAUAGAAUGAAAUUGUAUAUAAAAUGAAAUACAACUUUCAACAACGGAUCUCUUGGCUCUCGCAUCGAUGAAGAACGCAGCGAAAUGCGAUAAGUAAUGUGAAUUGCAGAAUUCAGUGAAUCAUCGAAUCUUUGAACGCAUCUUGCGCUCCUUGGUAUUCCGAGGAGCACGCCCGUUUGAGUGUCAUUAAAUAUCUCAAAAAAGCUUUUGUGCCYUUUUGGCACGGGAUUUUUUUUUGGACAUUGGGAGUUGCUGGCUACUUGAUUAAAAGUGGUGGGCUCUUCUGAAAAGCAUUAGUUGGAGGAGCUUUGCACUCUUAUUGGUGUGAUAAACUAUCUAUGCCAUGAGAUGCUUUAUGAUCCUCUGCUGUCUAACUGUCUUUAUCAAGACAAUAUGAUAAACUUGACCUCAAAUCAGGUAGGACUACCCGCUGAACUUAAGCAUAUCAAUAAGCGGAGGAAAAGAAACUAACAAGGAUUCCCUUAGUAACUGCGAGUGAAGAGGGAAAAGCUCAAAUUUAAAAUCUGGCAGUGCUUCACUGUCCGAGUUGA
rnacentral:rRNA from 1 species